ensembl:lncRNA
AAUGGGCAAAGAUGUACACCAGAUAAUGAAUUUUCUGAAACAGAACAGAAUGCCAGGAAGUCAAAAAUGAGAGAUGAGGCAAAACUACCUGAAAAGGGAAUAUGUAAUGAAGAAGUUCUAAAAAAUAUACAAGAGGCAGAAAAUAGGGCCACCAGAAAGCAAACUUUAGAUGAUGCACUAGAUAUUGUUCCUGAUUCUCAGCCAACAGGGAGAAGCAACAAACAUCCGUAAGUAUUGGAAAAGAAUGCCAAGUCACUGCUGUUUUAUGACUUACUUAUGACUACUUCAUGAAAAGGUUAUUCUGUUGUCUUAAACAGAUUCACCAUUUAGUUAGUCUUUGAUUGCUUUGAGAAUAAUACUCAUUAAAAGUAAUGUUUAGUAGUACCAUGGAGAGUAAUUAUCUCAGAUGACAUCAGAAGGUAAGAUAAAAAUGACAUGGGAUCACAUAUAAGUAGGUGAACUGUGCCAUAAGAAGCAGCAGACUUCAUCAAGUUCUAACUCUUGUAGACACGCCACAGAGUUAUCUGGGUUCAAGUUUAAUGAUGGCCAUCAGGCAUUGUUGCCUUUUUGAAACUGACUUAAAAAUGUGUAUUGUUUGUGAAGGUUUGCCAUUUAACAGUACAUUGGUUAAUUGAACAAUGGUAGCAGGCUUAGCGCUAACGUAAAAUGCUCUGAUAUGUAUAAGCCAUCACUAUUUUCCUAUGUUGUGGUGUACGUUUGUUGUAGUUCAGACACACACACUUUCUAAAAUUUACUGAUAAUAUGAUGGUAUCAUUUCUAUUAGACUGCCUGGUCUUUUGGAAAGUUCUUCUGAUAAAAAAAGAACAUGGAAAAAAAGAGCGUGUUCUGUUCCUGAGAAGAAUAUAACAACUGGUGGCAGGCAAAAACUAAAUCUGACAUCAGGACCUACAUCCCAUUCAGGUUAUGUUCAUAUUUUGUUAAUUGUUAGUGUUAAAAAUGUUUCAGAUGAGUUUUUAACCUAUGGCUCUGCUUUCUUUCUGUAUUAGUUCCUGUUUUUAACAAAAGAGAUGUGAAACAAAAUGUUUUUUAUUCAGUUUGUGGAAAUACCUCUCCAGAUAAACAAAUAAAUAAAAAAAGAGAAAAACAGCAGCAAAAUGGAAUUGAAAUCAGGAGGGAAGAAAACUGCAAAAUACUGAGUGGACAGUCAAAGAGCAUUAAUAAUUUGGAACUGAAACAGUUGAAUACAGAAAUUAAAAAUACUUCAACUACUGCUGAAACAUUUAAAACAUAUCUUUCAGCUAGAGUGUCAGAAACAUCUUUGCAUUCUGAUUUUACAAAAUACAGCAAUAUGGAAGAAGAAGCUGAUGUUCUCUCAGGAAAAGAGACUUCAAAUAAUAAACAGUCAAAAACGAAAAAAAAGUCUAAAGAAAUGACAGAUGCAACAAAAUCACUAAUUACUAAAAUCAGUGACAGAUAUAAAGAAAAGACUAACGAGAAAAGCAAAACAAGAGACUCCUCAGGUUUCAACAGACCAUGUUUAAGUAAAUCUUGUUUCAGUGUUAAUAAGGAAAAAGUUCAAAAUAGAAGCUUGAAAACUACUACUUUCCUUGAUACAACCGCUGGACAUAUUUUGUAA